UACGGAAUGUGCAAACGUUAUUCGGAAUCACUGGGCUUAAAGAGUCCGUAGGCGGCUUGUUAGGUGAGGUGUGAAAUCCCUCGGCUCAACCGAGGAAUUGCGCUUCAAACCGGCAAGCUAGAGGAGGAUAGAGGUGGGCGGAACUGAUGGUGGAGCGGUGAAAUGCGUUGAUAUCAUCAGGAACACCGGAGGCGAAGGCGGUCCACUGGGUCCUAUCUGACGCUGAGGGACGAAAGCUAGGGGAGCGAACGGG
rnacentral:rRNA from 1 species